GAUCAGGCUCAGGAUGAACGCUGGCGGCGUGCUUAACACAUGCAAGUCGAACGGGAAACAUUUUAUUGAAGCUUCGGCAGAUUUAGCUUGUUUCUAGUGGCGGACGGGUGAGUAACGCGUGGGUAACCUGCCUUAUACUGGGGGAUAACAGCCAGAAAUGGCUGCUAAUACCGCAUAAGCGCACAGAACCGCAUGGUUCGGUGUGAAAAACUCCGGUGGUAUAAGAUGGACCCGCGUUGGAUUAG
rnacentral:rRNA from 1 species